UGUACAACCAGGUUGGCUUUAGGAGGACUGUUGGGUUGUCUGAUGUGGAUGGUAAUGUGUGGGGUGAGGGACAUCAGGGCGUGAACUUGAAAGUCUAGGUGUGUGAGCUGCUUGUGAUGGCGCAGUAAUCCCAGGAGUCCAGGAUCUAGCAAGAAGAUCUCAACUCUGGGUUGUUGUUUAAAUCCGCAGUGCCCUGUUGUGUGGGGUUUCUGGAGUACUGCAGCUCCUGGCUGGCGUAUGUCCCACUGUUGUGUUGUGUACCUAGCAUCUGUCCACAGGGGGCAGCUGCCGCUGGUCUGCAAUGGGAUUGCUGGCUGGAGCCUCUUUUAGGGCUUCUGAGGAGACGCAGUAGGUGCUGCAUGAGUAAGUCUGGGCAUGUUUGGGUUAGCAGGUUUGAUGCCAUGCUCUCAAAGGUAUGUCAGGCUCUUGGGAAGGUUUUAUAUGCAGCAUUUCCUGAGAGGAUUUAACUCUGGACACCCCCUCCCCUGUAGAUGUCAUCUUUCUGUCAAAGUCCUGAUUGUAGACUCCCUCUUACAGUGAUCUCUCUAGUCCUGGAGCUUUGGCAGGUGAGGAAACUGGACUAGGAGCCAGUGUGGAGAGGUUAACUUAGCACUGGGCUAUGAGCCCCAGUGUGGAGAGAGUGGUUAACUUAGCACUGGGCUAUGAGCCCCAGUGUGGAGAGAGUGGUUAACUUAGCACUGACAGGUGGUCGUCUCCUGUCUGUGUGUUCCACAUCCAUGGAUCCAUCUUUUCAGCCUUGGAUAGUGUACUGGUCAUGUACAUACUUUAAAAACAGACUCCUUUAACAACAUACAUGUGUAGUAUUUAUAUCGCUCCACGUGUCAGAUAGUCUAGCUAUGGCUUUCGGUCACAUGCAGGACUGUGUCUAUUAUGUAUGUACAAAUAGUGUGUCAUAUAAUCUAAGAGGCUCGAGGUCAUACCUGCAGGGGUCCUUAACCAACUCCCCAGGGAUCGCUGGGGUUGAUUGCUGUUGGAGCUUCAUGGUGGUGAAGCAGUUCCUUAGAUGUGUUUUGUCUGUCUUUUGAGGAGGCCUUGAACUUCAGACUCCCUGCCUCCGAAUGCCUCCGGGAUGACAGUUAUCUGUCGCCACCUCUGGGGGGAAAAAGUGGUUUAAAAUUUAAAUGACAGGAUAAAGAAAGGAGCAUGAAAAAGUAACCAGGAAUCGGUUACUGAGAUUAGGAUAAAAAUGCCAUCUUUCCUGGGAGGUGGCACUGUGAGGAAUUGGUGUGCAUUCUGCCACUUCUUUAGCACACGGGCUACAAUCAGGGGUGAAAUCUUAGUUGAACGGCUUCUGAGUAUCACUGUCACCAUAAAGCUUUUCUGUCAGGACUUGUGUGGAAUUUGUGUGAAGAAGUGUCUGAGGUUUCUCCUGCCUUGGGGCCAUUGCUUUCCUUUCCCUGCUGGUUAGCUGUGAAGUUAGUCCUGGGAUGUGGCCCUUCUAGGGCGGCCAUUGACCCUUGCCCGUAGGUCUGACUCUGGGACUGUCUUUCUCCAUCAGGGCUUCUUGUAUCUGCAUAGCCCUUCUUUACCUUUCCUGCCUGUUCCUCCCGGCUCAUUGUGGCUAAGCCUUUCCCUUGGCCUCAGGUCCUUGGGAAACAACUUCUCUUAAUAGGCCUCCCUUCAGGAGAUUUGUGCUUGGUGUGCCUCAAAGCAGCAAAACAGUGAAGUCUUAUUUUGUUUUUACAGUGUUUCCUUUUGCUUGUUUUUACAAGGUUUCCUUUGAGCCCCAUGUUUUGGGCCUCAGGUUCGCCAGUGCUGGCACCACAGGUGCGUUGAGCCCUUGUUGAUGAGCUGGUCUUAUGUCCAAGGGUCAAUGAGGACAAGAUAAUCAUUUUAACUCAGAGCACACAGAGGCGGCGGCUUUGAAUGCAGGGAACCCCCUGAGAGCCAGCCCUAACUUCACAGCUAACCUGCCGGCAGAGUAAAGCG
rnacentral:lncRNA from 1 species